rnacentral:rRNA from 1 species
UGAAGAGGUUUGGAAAGACCCACCACAGAAGGUAAUAGUCCUGUAUGUUAAACGAGAAGACUUUAGAUAUGAUCCCGAGUACCACGGGACACGUGAAACCCUGUGGGAAGCAGGAGGGACCACCCUCCAAGGCUAAAUACUACCUAGUGACCGAUAGCGUCUAGUACCGUGAGGGAAAGGUGAAAAGAACCCCGGGAGGGGAGUGAAAUAGAACCUGAACCCCUGCACUUACAAGCUGUGGAAGCACAUUUCUUGUGUGACCGCGUACUUUUUGUAGAACGGGCCAACGAGUUACGUUAAGUAGCAAGGUUAAGCACUUAAGGUGCGGAGCCGUAGCGAAAGCGAGUUUUAACUGAGCGUUCAGUUACUUGACGUAGACCCGAAACCGGGCGACCUACCCAUGAGCAGGAUGAAGCGAAAGUAAAAUUUCGUGGAGGUCCGAACCCACGAGCG